rnacentral:antisense_RNA from 1 species
UCCCUCUCAGAUACUUACUGGUUCAUUCAUUCGUUCAUUUUGCUUUAACUCAGAGGACCCCUCCCCAUCCUAAGGUGCACUGCUGGGAUUGGUCUAUGUGUUGAUGAUAUUCUCCUGGUCUUCAGAGGAAAAAGAAUGCCUGUGUUUUGGAGUUCCUUCUUAGGACGAAACCAGCUGAAGCUGGCGAAAUCCAAGAUGGCGCCUCUGAAGACCCUCUGGCUUUAUUAUCAUCCUGUUCUCCUGCUAAGCGACACUCCCACCAGCGCCAUGACAAUUGACAGUCGCCAUGACAACGACUGGAAGAGACCAAGAAGGGACAGAAAAAAAGGGGUUCCUUGAUUCCAGGAAAAUCUCCGUUCUUUCCCAAGAAAAGCAUGAAUAUUCCCCCCCCUUGCUCUUAAUGCCCAGCCCCUUCAUUAAAGACACCCUACGUCUGUAACUUC